ACAACGAGGCGGUCACUGCGCGUGAGGCCGAGACGCUGAAAGUCCGGAUUUAAAGUGCAGAAAAUUAAGCCAUUGAAUCUGCCUGUCCAUGACGUACAAAGACACACUAUGAGCCAGUAUGAUCCAACCAGACCCUACAUCAGCAUUGAGGAGUUGUCGGAGAAGAAAGAGGCUGAUUGAAGCGGGACAGAUGACAUGGAUCCAUCCUUCCACAGCCAGGAGCGCACCGACCUGUGUCCCACACUUCAUAUAAGACUGGAAGCUACACUGAUCUCACAGCUACACACCACAGACGUCUACACACUGGAGAAGAUUCAGACAGAGUCCCACAAAGAAGUCAUGACCCAGAGGCUGCAGAGAAACAUUUCAAGCCUCAUCUGAGUUUUUGUACAAUAUUUUUGCUGUAUGUAAAUAAAGCUUUGACUCCACA